AGAGUUUGAUCCUGGCUCAGAUUGAACGCUGGCGGCAUGCUUUACACAUGCAAGUCGAACGGCAGCACGGGUGCUUGCACCUGGUGGCGAGUGGCGAACGGGUGAGUAAUGCAUCGGAACGUACCCAGUCGUGGGGGAUAACGUAGCGAAAGUUACGCUAAUACCGCAUACGACCUGAGGGAGAAAGCGGGGGACCGAAAGGCCUCGCGCGAUUGGAGCGGCCGAUAUCGGAUUAGCUAGUUGGUGAGGUAAAGGCUCACCAAGGCGACGAUCCGUAGCUGGUCUGAGAGGACGACCAGCCACACUGGAACUGAGACACGGUCCAGACUCCUACGGGAGGCAGCAGUGGGGAAUUUUGGACAAUGGGGGCAACCCUGAUCCAGCCAUGCCGCGUGAGUGAAGAAGGCCUUCGGGUUGUAAAGCUCUUUCAGCAGGAACGAAACGGUGGCCCCUAAUACGGGCUACUAA
rnacentral:rRNA from 1 species